UUAGGAAUUUUGGGCAAUGGCCGCAAGGCUGACCCAGCAACGCCGCGUGGGGGACGAAGGCCUUCGGGUUGUAAACCCCUUUUCCCAGGGACGAUGAUGACGGUACCUGGGGAAUCAGCCCCGGCUAACUACGUGCCAGCAGCCGCGGUAAUACGUAGGGGGCGAGCGUUGUCCGGAUUUAUUGGGCGUAAAGCGCGGGCAGGCGGCAGCUUAAGUCGGCCGUGAAAGCGCCGGGCUCAACUCGGCGAGGACGGGCGAGACUGGGCUGCUCGAGCAAGGCAGAGGGCGGUGGAAUUCCGGGUGUAGUGGUGGAAUGCGUAGAGCUCCGGAGGAACACCAGUGGCGAAGGCGGCCGCCUGGGCCUUUGCUGACGCUGAGCCGCGAAAGCGUGGGGAGCGAGCCGGAUUAGAUACCCGGGUAGUCCACGCCGUAAACGAUGGGCACUAGGUGUCGGGGGUAUCGACCCCCUCGGUGCCGGCGCUAACGCAAUAAGUGCCCCGCCUGGGGAGUACGGCCGCAAGGCUAAAAC
rnacentral:rRNA from 1 species